UGGGGAAUAUUGGACAAUGGGCGAAAGCCUGAUCCAGCAAUACCGCGUGUGUGAAGAAGGCCUUCGGGUUGUAAAGCACUUUAAGUUGGGAAGAAAAAACUUUACCUAAUACGUGAAGUCUUGACGGUACCGACAGAAUAAGCACCGGCUAACUCUGUGCCAGCAGCCGCGGUAAUACAGAGGGUGCUAGCGUUAAUCGGAUUUACUGGGCGUAAAGCGUGCGUAGGUGGGUUGAUAAGUCGGUUGUGAAAGCCCCGGGCUCAACCUGGGAAUUGCGGCCGAUACUGUCAGACUCGAAAACGGUAGAGGGAGGUGGAACUCCAGGUGUAGCGGUGAAAUGCGUAGAUAUCUGGAAGAACAUCGAUGGCGAAGGCAGCCUCCUGGGCCUGUUUUGACACUGAGGCACGAAAGCGUGGGUAGCAAACA
rnacentral:rRNA from 1 species